UACGAAGGGGGCUAGCGUCGCUCGGAAUCACUGGGCGUAAAGCGCACGUAGGCGGAUCUUUAAGUCAGGGGUGAAAUCCCAAGGCUCAACCUUGGAACUGCCUUUGAUACUGGGGAUCUCGAGUCCGGAAGAGGUGAGUGGAACUGCGAGUGUAGAGGUGAAAUUCGUAGAUAUUCGCAAGAACACCAGUGGCGAAGGCGGCUCACUGGUCCGGUACUGACGCUGAGGUGCGAAAGCGUGGGGAGCAAACAGG
rnacentral:rRNA from 1 species